UCAGGAUGAACGCUGGCGGCGUGCUUAACACAUGCAAGUCGAACGAUGAUGCCCACUUGUGGGUGGAUUAGUGGCGAACGGGUGAGUAACACGUGAGUAACCUGCCCUUAACUCUGGGAUAAGCCUGGGAAACUGGGUCUAAUACCGGAUAUGACUCCUCAUCGCAUGGUGGGGGGUGGAAAGCUUUUUGUGGUUUUGGAUGGACUCGCGGCCUAUCAGCUUGUUGGUGAGGUAAUGGCUCACCAAGGCGACGACGGGUAGCCGGCCUGAGAGGGUGACCGGCCACACUGGGACUGAGACACGGCCCAGACUCCUACGGGAGGCAGCAGUGGGGAAUAUUGCACAAUGGGCGCAAGCCUGAUGCAGCGACGCCGCGUGAGGGAUGACGGCCUUCGGGUUGUAAACCUCUUUCAGUAGGGAAGAAGCGAAAGUGACGGUACCUGCAGAAGAAGCGCCGGCUAACUACGUGCCAGCAGCCGCGGUAAUACGUAGGGCGCAAGCGUUAUCCGGAAUUAUUGGGCGUAAAGAGCUCGUAGGCGGUUUGUCGCGUCUGCCGUGAAAGUCCGGGGCUCAACUCCGGAUCUGCGGUGGGUACGGGCAGACUAGAGUGAUGUAGGGGAGACUGGAAUUCCUGGUGUAGCGGUGAAAUGCGCAGAUAUCAGGAGGAACACCGAUGGCGAAGGCAGGUCUCUGGGCAUUAACUGACGCUGAGGAGCGAAAGCAUGGGGAGCGAACAGGAUUAGAUACCCUGGUAGUCCAUGCCGUAAACGUUGGGCACUAGGUGUGGGGGACAUUCCACGUUUUCCGCGCCGUAGCUAACGCAUUAAGUGCCCCGCCUGGGGAGUACGGCCGCAAGGCUAAAACUCAAAGGAAUUGACGGGGGCCCGCACAAGCGGCGGAGCAUGCGGAUUAAUUCGAUGCAACGCGAAGAACCUUACCAAGGCUUGACAUGGGCCGGACCGGGCUGGAAACAGUCCUUCCCCUUUGGGGCCGGUUCACAGGUGGUGCAUGGUUGUCGUCAGCUCGUGUCGUGAGAUGUUGGGUUAAGUCCCGCAACGAGCGCAACCCUCGUUCCAUGUUGCCAGCGCGUAAUGGCGGGGACUCAUGGGAGACUGCCGGGGUCAACUCGGAGGAAGGUGGGGACGACGUCAAAUCAUCAUGCCCCUUAUGUCUUGGGCUUCACGCAUGCUACAAUGGCCGGUACAAAGGGUUGCGAUACUGUGAGGUGGAGCUAAUCCCAAAAAGCCGGUCUCAGUUCGGAUUGGGGUCUGCAACUCGACCCCAUGAAGUCGGAGUCGCUAGUAAU
rnacentral:rRNA from 1 species